rnacentral:rRNA from 1 species
UACGUAGGUGGCAAGCGUUGUCCGGAAUUACUGGGCGUAAAGAGCGCGCAGGCGGCUGGUCAAAGUCCGAUGUGAAAGCUUCCGGCUUAACUGGGAAAUUGCAUCGGAAACUGAUCGGCUUGAAGGUGGGAGAGGGUAGUGGAAUUCCCGGUGUAGUGGUGAAAUGCGUAGAUAUCGGGAGGAACACCAGUGGCGAAGGCGACUACCUGGCCCACUCUUGACGCUGAGGCGCGAAAGCUAGGGGAGCGAACGGG